rnacentral:miRNA from 2 species
UCAUAAGCCCACCACAUGUGG